rnacentral:rRNA from 1 species
AUACGUAGGGUGCAAGCGUUAAUCGGAAUUACUGGGCGUAAAGCGUGCGCAGGCGGUUUUGUAAGACAGUGGUGAAAUCCCCGGGCUCAACCUGGGAACUGCCAUUGCGACUGCAAGGCUGGAGUGCGGCAGAGGGGGAUGGAAUUCCGCGUGUAGCAGUGAAAUGCGUAGAUAUGCGGAGGAACACCGAUGGCGAAGGCAAUCCCCUGGGCCUGCACUGACGCUCAUGCACGAAAGCGUGGGGAGCAAACAGGAUUAGAUACCCUGGUAGUCCACGCCCUAAACGAUGUCAACUGGUUGUUGGGGAUUUAUUUUCUCAGUAACGAAGCUAACGCGUGAAGUUGACCGCCUGGGGAGUACGGCCGCAAGGUUAAAACUCAAAGGAAUUGACGGGG